AUGAAUCACUAAAAAAAUUAUGGCAGAAUUAGGAGUUGGAGAAGAGCCAAAUGUAAAAGUUUGAGGGAAAAAUUUUAAAAUAUAAAAGGAUCAUGCAUUCAAAUUGCUUUGCAAGUGUCUCUAAAAACAUUCCAUUCUAAGGGGAAAAGUAUGUGAUUCAUGGAAUUGGUGAAUACAAAAAAGGAAAAAAUCAACUAGUUUUAUAUGAAUUGACUGGCAAAUGAAUGUAUAUUUAUGCAGUUUGUCUUGGAUGAAAAUAGUUAAAUUUACGUAUAAUUUUAAUUAACAUACUUUUUAACAAAUUAUCCAAAGAUGGAAAGUAAAUACACACCAAGUAAAGCAAUGAUUAGGUUAUGCAGAAUUUGAAUUCUAGACUAAGAUGUUUGCACUUUAUUUGGGAAUAUUUAUUUGGAAGAUACUGACUGAUUUGGGGCAGAGUCAUGGCUUGACCAGAAGCGUCAUACUACAUGAAGAACCAUCUGACAGACUUGCCCAGGAUGGUCAGAGACUAGAGGAGGAGAGAAGAGUAAAGAGUUUGAUGAAACAGGGCAAGCAAAAUGUAACCAAGGCCUGAAUUACUGGUAGUGAGAAUGAGGAUAAGAAUUGGUAUUUUUCAGGUAGAACACAGGGUCUGGCCAUUUGCUUAAAUGUAGAAACAGAAGUUCUCACUGCAGCUCAUUGGAAUAAGAACCUGACAUAGUGUCCUUGAGGAUGUGGGUUUUUAUCCCGGGCUUUGCUCAGUGGGUUGAGUAUCUGAUCUUGGCACAAGCUGCGGUGUAGGUCGCAGAUGCGGAUCGGAACUGGUGUUGCCAUGGCUGUGGCUUAGGCUCUAAUUUGACCCCUAGCUCAGGAACUUUCAUAAGUCAUGGGUGUGGCCAUAAAAACAAAACAAGAGGAAACAAACAACAUAGAAGGAGGAACACUUAUUGAGGCUCUAAAAGUUGAGUUUCAUUUUGGAUCUCUUCAGUGGAGCAUUUUGGUUACCUGCCCCAUUCCUGCUUUCAGUUACCUACCCCAGUCCAGAGCCUUUCAUCUCCCAUGGACAGCAGACAACUGGAGACAGGAUCCAGAGCUUGCUAACUGGGACUCAUGCACAGAGAGAAAGAGGGUAGGUUGAAACCAUAAGAGGAAAGACACAUGAACAGUUUGAGCCAGAAGAAAAGACACUUGAGAGGUUAAGUAGGAACAAGUAGUUAAAUACUACAUGUAGUGGGAAAGGUCUAUAAUUUAUGACAACUGAGAUGUUGGUAACCUUAAAGAGUCUGUUUAAUAUAAUGGUGGGAUUCUUCAGGGUUACCAAAGAAAGAGUCUGUGGGAGAGUCAUGAAAUAGAGUCAGAGAAUGGUACUUCGAAGAAAUUUGCCUUGAUAAUGAAGAAUAAAAAAGCCGUAAUUUGAAGAAGGGAUUCUUUUAACAUUAAGAGCAGGCUUAGGAAAAUGUUACAUUCAAGAAGAUAAAACUGCUAAUGAAAACUCAUCUGAAUUUUGACUUGAGAAAAAUAUUUUAUUUGUCAAUUACAAUAAAACAAAUUUGUGCACUGACUCUCAAAUACGCUCGUUUAAUGGAAUAUGUAUACUGGCUGUCCACUGGGACAGUGUCUUUUCUAACACAAUGUAAAAAAGAUUGAGCUAGAAUUAUCUAGAAUAUCUGUAUUUUAUAUAUUUAGGACAAAAAAUAUAUAUAUAUUUAUAUGUAUUAUAUAUUUUAUAUAUCUGUAUUUUAUUUUGGGGUAAGUAAUAUGACCAAGAACAAUGUUUAUCAAAUGGCUGAACAUGUGCCAUGCAGUUGGUACUCAGCACAGAAAUAAAUUUCAUUUUAAAUAACACUUAAAUAAUAGUGGGACAUGUAAUUACAAAGAUUUUCCAUUCUUAAUUUUAUUUCAUCUGGAUUAUGUCAAGGAGAAUAGUCUUGUUUGGUGUUAAUAGGUCUUCAACUUUCUAAUCUCUUUUUAUAUUUAAAGAGAAUGGGGAAGUUCCCGCUGUGGCUCAGCAGUAACAAAUCCAACUAGCAAUGAUGAGGAUCUGGGUUUGAUCCCUGGCCUUGCUCAGUGGAUUAAGGAUCCUGUGUUGCUGUGACUGUGGUGUAGGCCAGCAGUGGUAGCUCUGAUUUGACCCUUAGCCUGGGAACUUCCAUAUACUGCACAUGUGGCCUUAAAAAAAAAAAAAAAUAAGAAAGAGAAUGGACCACCACCUCAAAGCAUAUUUGAAUCAAUUAUGUUUAGUAAGAAUUUAAUAAUUUGCUUUAACUAAUUUUAUAGUUAUAUUUUUAUGUACAGAAUUAUAUUAAUUUUUUGAUUAUUGUGAGAUAUAAAGUCUCAUUUACAAUAAGUUGAAGUAAAACAAUUGAUGUAGGGGAGUUCCCGUCAUGGCUCAGUGGUUAAUGAAUCUGACUAGGAACCAUGAGUUUGCAGGUUCGAUCCCUGGCCUUGCUCACUGGGUUAAGGAUCUGGGGUUGCCGUGAGCUGUGGUGUAGGUUGCAGACAUGGCUCAGAACCCACGUUGCUGUAGGAUUUGGCAGCUACAGCUUCAGUUAGACCCCUAUCCUGGGAACCUCCAUAUGCCGCGGGAGCAGCCCUAGAAA
rnacentral:lncRNA from 1 species